UUGAAAUAAACUGACAGGUUGUUGCUGGUUCUCUAGGGAACAUUGUGCACGCCUUGUCAUCUUUAUAUCUCCACCUGUGCACCUUUUGUAGACCUGGAUAUCUCUCUGAGUGCUUGCGCUCAGGUUUGAGGAUUGAUUCUUUUGUCUCUCCUUACAUUUCCAGGCCUAUGUUUCUUCAUAUACCCUAAUGUAUGUUAUAGAAUGUAAUAAAUGGCCUUCGUGCCUAUAAACAUAUA
rnacentral:misc_RNA from 1 species